rnacentral:rRNA from 1 species
GACGAACGCUGGCGGCGUGCUUAACACAUGCAAGUCGAACGGUGAAGCGCCUUCCUUUUUGGUGGGUGUGGAUGAGUGGCGAACGGGUGAGUAACACGUGAGUAACCUGCCCCCUUCUUCUGGAUAACCGCAUGAAAGUGUGGCUAAUACGGGAUAUUCUGGGUCUGUCGCAUGAUGGGUCUGGGAAAGAUAUUGUUUCGGUGGGGGAUGGGCUCGCGGCCUAUCAGCUUGUUGGUGGGGUGAUGGCCUACCAAGGCGGUGACGGGUAGCCGGCCUGAGAGGGUGGACGGUCACACUGGGAAGGAGACACGGCCAAGACUCCUACGGGAGGCAGCAGUGGGGAAUAUUGCACGAUGGGCGCAAGCCUGAUGCAGCGACGCCGCGUGAGGGAUGGAGGCCGUCGGGUUGUGAACCUCUUUCGCCAGUGAAGCAGGCCUGCCUCGUUUGUGGGUGGGUUGACGGUAGCUGGAUAAGAAGCGCCGGCUAACUACGUG